GCAGACAGUCGCUACGGCCCUGCCACUGCACAUAAUAGUGGAGCUCCAGGAGUGGGAAAAGAAGAAAAGCUGUCAUGCAAGCAUCCUUGAUAGAGGGUCAAUUUCUUUGUCACGUCUCGAGUUGAUGACUUGAUUUUUACACAUAUUUGACAAUACAGUCCAAACACAACGGAAAUCAACUACAAAGUGAAAUUGCGCCUCAUGAAAGAUAAUUUUAUGAGAUUGAUGAAAGAAGGCCAAUGAGCUUAGUCCACAGUGAAAGAGGGGAAAAGACAUUGACAUUGAAGAGAUGCAGCUCCACAUGUAUGAAAUGACACCUGUAUGAAGUCUUUCAUUGUUGCAUUAUUUGCUCAGCAAAAGGUACCUGGUUAAAUAAACGAUGGUAUGAUAAGCAGCGGGAAAAACAAAUAAGGAAGAUCUCUAUGUGCUAAUAUGAAAAGAGCUUUAGGAUGUAUUGAUGGAGAGGAGAUGACUGAGUGGAUUUACCUGUGCUCCUGGAAACCUGGGCAGAGAGAAGAAUGGAAUGAAAGCUGCUGAAUUAAACUCAGAAUAGGGAUGAUUUAUAAGAGUAUCUUCUGUUGUGGAAUAGAUACGUAAGGGGAAAUCUAUUUUGUGUUGUCAAACAAAUUAGUAAUUAAAACUGA